rnacentral:rRNA from 1 species
CCUACGGGUGGCAGCAGUGGGGAAUAUUGGACAAUGGGCGAAAGCCUGAUCCAGCCAUGCCGCGUGUGUGAAGAAGGCCUUCGGGUUGUAAAGCACUUUCAGUGGGGAAGAAAGCCUUGGGGCUAAUACCCUCGAGGAAGGACAUCACCCACAGAAGAAGCACCGGCUAACUCCGUGCCAGCAGCCGCGGGAAUACGGAGGGUGCGAGCGUUAAUCGGAAUUACUGUGCGUAAAGCGCGCGUAGGCGGUCUGAUAAGCCGGUUGUGAAAGCCCCGGGCUCAACCUGGGAACGGCAUCCGGAACUGUCAGGCUAGAGUGCAGGAGAGGAAGGUAGAAUUCCCGGUGUAGCGGUGGAAUGCGUAGAGAUCGGGAGGAAUACCAGUGGCGAAGGCGGCCUUCUGGACUGACACUGACGCUGAGGUGCGAAAGCGUGGGUAGCAAACAGGAUUAGAUACCCCGGUAGUC